rnacentral:rRNA from 1 species
AAUCAACGCUGGCGGCGUGCCUCAGACAUGCAAGUCGAACGCGAAAGUCCCCUUCGGGGGACAAGUAGAGUGGCGCACGGGUGAGUAACACGUAGGUAAUCUACCUUCGGAUGGGGAAUAACAAUCGGAAACGGUUGCUAAUACCGCAUAAUGCAGCGGCACCUAAUGGUGACAGUUGUUAAAGCGGGGGAUCGAAAGACCUCGCGUCUGAAGAGGAGCCUGCGGCGGAUUAGCAGUUGGUAAGGUAAUGGCUUACCAAGGCGACGAUCCGUAACCGGCCUGAGAGGGCGGUCGGUCACACUGACACUGACAUACGGGUCAGACUCCUACGGGAGGCAGCAGUCGGGAAUUUUGCGCAAUGGGCGGAAGCCUGACGCAGCGACGCCGCGUGGGGA